rnacentral:rRNA from 1 species
UACGGGGGGGGCAAGCGUUGUUCGGAAUUACUGGGCGUAAAGCGCGCGUAGGCGGCCCUGUAAGUCCGUUGUGAAAGUCAAAGGCUCAACCUUUGAAAGCCGAUGGAUACUGCAGGGCUAGAGUCCGGAAGAGGCGAGUGGAAUUCCUGGUGUAGCGGUGGAAUGCGCAGAUAUCAGGAGGAACACCAAUAGCGAAGGCAGCUCGCUCGGACGGUACUGACGCUAAGGCGCGAAAGCGUGGGGAGCGAACAGG